UAUUAUUAUCAUUUUAUAUUAUCACUUUUCAUUUAUAGUAAAAAAAAAAAUAUAUUGAAUAAUAAUAAUAAUAACUGUUGCUGUAAGUUUUACAUUUAAGAUAAUUUCUUGAUAAAUUAGCUUCUAAUUUGUUUAUUUUAGUUUAGUUUAUUUAUUUGUGUUCAAAUAGUUUUUGCACCUAAAUCAUUUCAUAAUUCCUUCAGUGAAACAGAUUCAUCAUGCAGCAUGUUUUAGCAAAAAACACACGAUUAGUCCCAUGAAAUCACAGACAAUCACUAUGAAGUGUCCACGUGGCUCCACCUUCGUCAUCAUCAUCCUCAUCAUCAUCAUCAGAACCCUAUUUAUCUCUGUUCCAACCUAAAAUGACACCCACUCUGAAGUCCCCGUGACUCUGUGCCUGCCCACCCCCACCUCUGCACAACAAUGAAAUCCAACAAACACAAACAUUUUCCAGUUUCACGCUGACGGGAGGAAAGAGGGCUCGUAUCCCGUUACCAUGGAGGUGACGUACCCACACGUCCUGCCUGAAGUUACUAUCUAGGCCGACAGCCACCGGGAUGAUCCUAACUCCCAGAACAAGCUGGAGGACCCGGUUAAGGCCCCUCCCAAGGAGGACGACUCCCUCAACAUCCACAACUCUCUGACACCCAAACACGAGAACCACAAGGUCCUGGGCGAGGAGAACUCCUCGGAGGUAAACUCACUGCAGAACAACAUGAUGUAAAAACAGCACCUCCCCAGCAACCUGACAACACGUCAAGGUGCGCCGGCAACGGAAGCCCCGCCCCCUCCCCGCUUCGCACCCGUCCGUUGCCGGGCGCCUCUUACCGGUCAACCAA